AGCUUUGCACAGUGGCAGUAUCAUAACCAAUGAAGUUAAUCUGAGGUGUGAUUAUUGCUACUUGAAAUCUGCUCCUUUCCUGGUGGUAGAUGGUACAGUACUACUGGAAACAGCAGAAACUG
rnacentral:snRNA from 1 species